UGGGGAAUAUUGCGCAAUGGGCGAAAGCCUGACGCAGCGACGCCGCGUGUGGGAUGACGGCCUUCGGGUUGUAAACCACUGUCGGGAGGGACGAAUGCGCCGCAAGGCGAGUGACGGUACCUCCAAAGGAAGCACCGGCUAACUCCGUGCCAGCAGCCGCGGUAAUACGGAGGGUGCGAGCGUUGUCCGGAAUCACUGGGCGUAAAGGGCGCGUAGGCGGCCUGAUAAGUAGGGGGUGAAAUCCUGCGGCUUAACCGCAGGGCUGCCUUCUAAACUGUCAGGCUAGAGCACGGUAGAGGCAGAUGGAAUUCCCGGUGUAGCGGUGGAAUGCGUAGAGAUCGGGAAGAACAUCAGUGGCGAAGGCGGUCUGCUGGGCCGUUGCUGACGCUGAGGCGCGACAGCGUGGGGAGCAAACAGGAUUAGAUACCCCCGUAGUCC
rnacentral:rRNA from 1 species